CUAAAUUGCCCAGGUUGGCCUUGAACUUGUGAUCCUCCUGCCUCAGCCUCCCAAGUGCUGGGAUUACAGAACUCAGCCAUGAUCAUGCGAGAAAGCCCAAGCAGCCCGUAAAGAGGUCCAAGUGGAAAAGAACUGAGGUCCCUGGCCCUCAACCUUAGCUGAGCUCCCAGCUGACAGCCAGCACCGAUUCACCAGCCCCCACUGAGCAUCCUGAAAAUGGAUCCCUCAGCCCCAGUGGUGCCAUCUUGGCUGACACUCCAGGCACAGAGACAGUUGAACUUUCCUCAGACUUCUCCAAAGUGUUAAUAAAAGUAUCUUAAGACUUUCCAGCUCCCAGCACAGAGGAGGCUUCCAG
rnacentral:lncRNA from 1 species